UCCUUGAGGCUCUCUAAGACAUCCUUUCAAAUCUAGGUAGACGUAGUCCUGGUUCCUUGAUACCAGCAGGAAUCGGGAUAGGGUCCAUGUUCCACAGAGUUGAAGAAUGAACACCACAAAUGCCCAGUUUCUGAAGAUGGCAGAAGGAAGAUCAAGGUACCAGCAUAUUUGGCAUCUGGUGAAGGUUCAUUCUCUGCUUCAGGAUGCCAAUCUUGUUUUUGUGUUCUUUGGAGGAGAUAAACUGUAUCCUUGAAUGGCAGAAGAAAUCCAGACUGUGGAAUGUGUGAAGACUGGGACAUCCAGUACAAAAGCGUUGUGGCCCAUGCAAGUUUCCUAGUUUUCCAUGUAAGAUUUGCUUUCCAUUUUAAAGAUCCAUUGAAACAGAUCUGCAGGACAAGAUAAAGGUCACCAACCUGAAACCUGAAGAAUUACAUCUCUUUCUACACUUUUUUUUUUUAGUUGUAGAUGGACACAAUACCUUUCUUUUGUUUAUGUGGAGCUGGGGAUCGAACCCAGGGCCUCAUGCAUGCUAUGCAAGCACUCUACCACUGAGCCACAACCCCAGCCCUACACUUUCUUUUUGAAAAUAAGGAAGAACAAUACGAAGGAUGGAAGAGUAGCAGAAUUUUUAUCAUUCCAUUGUAGAAGAAAAUUUGUAAUGUUACUUUUUAAAAUUGUACUUUCUUUGUCUCUAGGCAUUUUAAAGAAUAUGAUUCAAACCAUCUCACACAGCCAUCUGCUUUAAUACCUCUGUCUAGCAUUGCCAGAAAAAAAUCAACCAUUUGAUUGUCCCUAAGAACAUAUUAAGUUGGGAUCUCUUUGUUUUGAAAAUAUAUAUUAUCAUGCAGAUUCAAUAGAAUUCAUUGGAACCCCUAAUAACCAUUGGUAUUUUCUUCUUAAGAAAUUGUAUUUUGUUUCUUUCCUUAGCCCAUUAUCCUAUUUAUAAUUUCAGAGGCUACAUAGCUUCCCCUGAUUAGGGAAUGUAUGGAUGCCAGUUCAAGUCUAGUAACUUGUAAGUUUUUGGGUAUGCUUCAAUGUGUGUCUAACUUAGCCUAAUAAUUUGUUGAAGUAAAUUCUGCUUUUCUGAUGGA